rnacentral:rRNA from 1 species
UACGUAGGGUGCGAGCGUUAAUCGGAAUUACUGGGCGUAAAGCGUGCGCAGGCGGUUCGUUGUGUCGGUGGUGAAAGCCCCGGGCUUAACCUGGGAUGGCCAUGGAAACUGGCGAACUGGAGUGUGGCAGAGGGGGUGGAAUUCCGCGGUGUAGCACGUGAAAUGCGUAGAGAUGCGGAGGAACACCGAUGGCGAAGGCAGCCCCCUGGGCU